rnacentral:rRNA from 1 species
UACGAAGGGGGGCUAGCGUUGCUCGGAAUCACUGGGCGUAAAGGGUGCGUAGGUGGGCCUGUAAGUCAGCGGUGAAAUCUCCGGGCUUAACCCGGAAACUGCCAUUGAUACUAUAGGUCUUGAAUUAUCUGGAGGUAAGCGGAAUAUGUCAUGUAGCGGUGAAAUGCUUAGAUAUGACAUAGAACACCAAUUGCGAAGGCAGCUUACUACCCGAAUAUUGACACUGAGGCACGAAAGCGUGGGGAUCAAACAGG